UUGCCGCCAAUUAGUUUAUUUGGUCAGUGGAAACCAAACUGCGUGGUACGCGAGCGAUUUGAAAUUGCGAUAUACAUUCUUUUUCAAUAAUAAAACUUCCCGUAUUCCUCGGAAUAGCCAUCGUUACAACAAGAUUAAUUGUCUUUUGUGAGGCGUUAAUUUCGAAAUUAAAAAAUUUCUUGAAUUCAGUUCGUUCGGAAAAGUUCGUUUUGCUAGAAGAGAAAAAGGAGUUCAGCUGCUUCAGCGCAUUUAACUAUUCGUUUUAUUCCGAUUUCACUUGGAUUGUUUUUAUUGGAAAUAUAACAAAAUGGUCGCUUCGUCAAAUGCAAGCCAAAACGGCACAUUAAUUUCUUCAGUCGGAGGCACCGCUAAUGGAGUAAUCACCAAUGGCACAGUCAAUGAGGCUAAUGCAAGCAAGACUUUGGCCAAGGGCAAAUACACUUUGGUGGGCAUCGAUAUUGACACAACGGGACGUCGACUCAUAGAUGAGAUUGUUCAGUUGGCUGCUUAUUCUCCAAAAGAUCAUUUUGAACAAUAUAUCAUGCCAUACAUGAAUUUGAAUCCUGCCGCUCGUCAACGUCACCAAGUACGUGUGAUCUCAAUUGGAUUCUAUCGUAUGCUAAAAUCAACGCAAACCUAUAAGAUUAUCAAGUCCAAAUCGGAGAUCGCUGCCUUGAAAGAUUUUCUUGAUUGGCUGGAAGCGCUUAAAGCCAAGGAUGCAGCAUCACAAGGUAUAAUUCUAGUCUAUCACGAGGAACGAAAAUUCAUUCCAUAUAUGAUUUUGGAAUCGCUUAAAAAAUACAAUCUGUUAGAUAGAUUUCUUAAUUCAGUCAAAUCUUUCGCAAAUGGCCUCACCCUGGCCAAAGCCAAUGUCAACGAGUCCUUACAGCAUUAUUCAUUGCGUAAGCUUUCUAAAGUCUUGAGUACUAAAUCAGAAGGAGAAAACAAAAAUACCGGCGAUGGUGCUGAGAUAAUUAAUGUAAUUUCAGCAAAUACAAACAACGCCAGUCAAAGUCCACAAAAAUCUUUAAAUAAUAUUAAAAGCGCUACAGCACACGAACGUGAAUUGUUUGAUGGCAAUGCUAGUGUGCGCGCCAAGUUGGCCUUUGAGGUAGCACUGCAGUUGAGUAACCAAGAGAAUAAGGCGCCCAUCGACUCGACCGAUGCAUAUGAUAAGAUGCUCAGCGAUAUACAAGCGUAUGCACCACCCGUCGAAUGUGAUUUGAAUGAACUGCAGACACAAAAUGAGAAUUUAGAACGUCAAAACUCGUUCCGUCCAGUGUUCUUGAAUUAUUUCAAAACUACACUCUAUCAUCGGGUGCGUGCCGUUAAAUUCCGUAUUAUACUUGCCGAGCAAGGGUUUGAUCUGCAAACAUUAAAUGAAAUUUGGAGUGAAAAACGGAAAGACGGUUUGGCCGAAAUAUUGCAGGUUAUUGAAGAGCUCAAGACUGAAGAUAAAACUGAGUUGGCAGAUUUAUUUGACAGUUACUUCGAUCCCGAAAAAACGACUAUUAAGCCGAUUGUAAAGAUUAGCAAUCGUCGCCGAAAUAGACGCGGAGUACGCAAUAUGAAAAACGACGGCAGCAACAGUGCUCGUCCCUCCGGCGAGCAAGGGGCUGGCGGUGAUAAACAAAUAGCCGCUAGUGAGCUGCCCGAUUCCACAACUAAAUCGCCAUCUCCGCCAAAUGGUGGCGGUAAGCCACAGCGCGGUAAGCGUAAUCCACGGUCCCGGAAUAACUCCUUGAAAGCACAGCUACAAACCACUGUCGACGCAACAACGGCAACAGCAACAGAAGCUAAUUAAGAUUAUGGAAUUUCAAUCAAUCAAAACGGGUGUUGUUGCUGCAACAAAGGCAAAAUUUUUGGUUAAAAUUGAUGUCAGAAAAGAAAAGUUUAACUACAAAAGUAACACAAACAUGAUUGAUGCGUUGCAGCUAUUGUAAAUUAGCUAUCAAAAAAAAAAAAUAACAAAAAAACUUACUCGCUCAAGAAGGUGGAAAUGAAUUUCAAAAGGAUUGUUUGAGGGAAAUGUGACGAUUUCACUGAUUUCGGAAGUUUCUUGCACAAAAUUUUAGUGUAAAAAAAUUUCAGUAUGUGUCUUUUGGUGAAUAAUCAAAUUUUUAAUGAAGAAAUGAAACCCAACUAUCGCGCCAUAUUCAAAAUGAACUCGUGUACAUAUGUACAUACGCACUUGUGAAUUGAGUUUAUACAAUAAUGCCUUCAAUGCCAGUAAAAAAAUAUUGAUUUUACCGUACAUAAUACAAGGAAAAAUUAUUUAAUUAAUAUUUCAAUUUAUAUAUGAAUGUAUAUUUGCAUACAUACAUAUGGCAUGUCUAUACAUAUGUUCAUACGAAUAUGUGGGCUGUGAACGCUCAAAUUAAAUAGCGUGAUAUUAUAAAUGCAACAAGUACAAAAAUACAUUCGCACUGCGGAACCUGAUUAGCAGUAAAGAAGUUAUCACUCAUCUAAGCCAGCUCAACAACAAUCACUCUUCAGCUGGCAGCCGUGUACAGGAAGUGAAAAAAAUGUUUUUAAUUUUUUUAGUUUAUUACACAACACGUGUGGUACGCAAAAAAGAAUAAUCUAAUCGAAAUACACAAAAAUAUUUGUUUUCAUAGAACAAUAUAGCGAGGAGUAGACUUAAAAAAGUACUACACAUUUAUUACAUAUACAAUAUAUUGUUCGAAAAUCAAGGAAUCUUAGGGCUGAUCCAUAAAUAAUUGAUAAAUUUUUGAAAACCAACUACUAUGUGGUUCUCUCAGUUCUUCAAAGGAUUCCAACUCAAUUUUAAUAACAAUCGGCUUCAUGACAAAAAAAAA
rnacentral:misc_RNA from 1 species